GAGGGUACAGCUCAGUGGUAGAGUACAUGCCUAGCAUGCUGCAGGUCCUGGGUUCAACCCCCAGUAUCGCCA
rnacentral:tRNA from 1 species